AUCCUUGCGCUUGGGGCAUUGGCCGCAGCUGAUGAGGUGAACACCGAGGUGCGUCAUUGCUGGUUGAAAACUAUUUCCAAACCCUCUUCUUUGGCCUUUUCUGGGCCACUGAGAAUUUUUGGAAAGGGGGCUUUCCC
rnacentral:snRNA from 1 species